UUUAACUCACACAUUCCUUGAACUGAACAAAUACAUUUGAGUUCUUCCAUUUUUGAAUUUAUGCUUCUGUAAUGUCAUACCUUCAGUUUGGGUCAGUAAUGACCGGCUCACCAAUCGAUUAGGUUCAGAACAAAGUGUACUGGAUCUUGGUUAGGCAUCGUCCUUUAUAUGCAUCCAACUAUAGCCUAUGCCUGACCUUCAUGUUUAUCUUUUCAUUCGUCAAGGUCAUGUCCGCGGCACGGCGAGACGCCCGCGAAGCAUUGCUUGCUUCCAUGCCGACGCGAGCCGCCAGUCCACCCAGCUCACGAAUAGCCGCGCGGGUCUCCGAUCCAGCGCCCUCCCUAUGGCACAGCUCCACCGUGCUGACUGAUGCUGCCUACGCCAUGGAAAGGGCAAGUAUCUUCUUACCCUUUUAUCUCAGUAUGGUGUCCUAAUGUGGUGGAUGGACUUGGUAACACUGUUUGCUACGAUCGAGGACCCAGCACAGCUUGUUGUCGAGAGACGUGAAGAAAGUCUGAUAGUAGUUGCUGCAUUCGAGUUGAUUUCUAUCCCCAGAGCAUCAACCUUGGCACACUCUUUGAGAAGCAAACAGGUUCUGUUAAACGUGAACAUGUUUGCGUCAAGGCUUUGUUUAUGGUAGAAGAAGAAAUCGAGGUCGCCAAAACUCAUUGCUAGAUUACUCCACUGCAAAAAAUACAACUCACAACGGCAAGAAGGAAGAGCUCGGGCCACCCGCAACGCUAGGCCGCCGGCCCUCCUCCCUCAAGCUCAAGGCGGCGAAGAGAUGGUUGAGAUGGUGUUGCAGCUCCGUAGGUGGAGACAAUAUCUCUGCCACCGAGGGGGUUGUUUCGAGAGUGGAACUAACACAGUAUGCCCAUGGUGCGACUCAGCUCAUGGCUAUACAAAUUUCUUUGUUAAUGGGCAGUAUAAAAGGAAGGAAACUUAUUUUUUAACACUGAUGAGUAAUGAGUGCACUCUACAAGGUGUCCUCAUUUCGGGAUAGUAAGUCCGACGACAAGAGAUUCUACAUAUUUUCUCCCACAAAGGCAGCUAAGUUGAAGACAUAUUCAAAAGAUGACCGUGUCUCUGUGGUUGAGGCCUUGAUCUUGGUCAAGAGUGUUUAUUCGCUCAGGCCGCUUAGUGGAAGAAUAACUUUUGUGCAGAGUGACAUUUCUAUUUCGACUGCAAGGAAUCAAAAUAGGAUGACCAGGAGGCUUUAAACGAGAGUCUUAUACAGGAUUGAGAAUAGAUUAUGCUUUCAGAGUUUUCAUGCUACUGAAAGCAACUGAAGCUACGCUAUGAGGAUCAUCUAAGCUUGUUUGGAUCCAGUAGAUACCAUUUUUGAGGUAAAAAUGGCUGUGAAUAUUAAUUAC